UACGUAGGGGGCGAGCGUUGUCCGGAAUUAUUGGGCGUAAAGAGCGUGUAGGCGGUUCGGUAAGUCUGCCGUGAAAACCUGAGGCUCAACCUCGGGCGUGCGGUGGAUACUGCCGGGCUAGAGGACGGUAGAGGCGAGUGGAAUUCCAGGUGUAGCGGUGAAAUGCGUAGAUAUCUGGAGGAACACCGGUGGCGAAGGCGGCAUCCUGGACCGGUAUUGACGCUGAGGCGCGAAAGCCAGGGGAGCAAACGGG
rnacentral:rRNA from 1 species